rnacentral:rRNA from 1 species
CUACGGGAGGCAGCAGUGGAUCUGCACAAUGAGGGAAACCUGAUGCAGCGACGCCGCGUGAGAUGACGGAUCUAGGUCUGUAAACUCUUUUUCAUGGAAAGACUUAGGACGGUACCAUGAGAAUAAGGACCGGCUAACUACGUGCCAGCAGCCGCGGUAAGACGUAGGGUCCAAGCGUUGUCCGGGAUUUACUGGGCGUAAAGAGCGCGUAGGCGGCUCGUUAAGUGUGAAGUGAAAUCUCUAGGCUCAACCCAGAAACUGCUUUACAUACUGGCGAGCUGGAGUGAUGAAGAGGUUUGUGGAAUUCCUGGUGUAACGGUGAAAUGUGUUGAUAUCAGGAGGAACACCCAUGGCGAAGGCAGCAAACUGGUCAUCAACUGACGCUGAGGCGCGAAAGCGUGGGUAGCAAACAGGAUUAGAUACCCUGGUAGUCCACGCCCUAAACGAUGGAUACUAGGCGUAAGAGGUAUCGACCCCUCUUGUGCCGCAGCUAACGCAUUAAGUAUCCCGCCUGGGGAGUACGGCCGCAAGGUUGAAACUCAAAUGAAUUGACGGGGACCCGCACAAGCGGUGGAGCAUGUGGAUUAAUUCGAUACUAACCGAAGAACCUUACCCAGACUUGACAUCGAUCGCAAGCCGGUGAAAGCCGGCCCUCCCUCACAAGGGGACGUGAAGACACUUGUUGCAUGGCUGUCGUCAGCUCGUGCCGUGAGGUGUACGGUUAAGUCCGCCAACGAGCGCAACCCUCGUCCUGUGUUACCAGCAUGAAAGAUGGGAACUCACAGGAGACCGCCGGUGUAAAUCGGCGGAAGGUGGGGAUGACGUCAAGUCAGCAUGGCAGUUACGUCUGGGGCUUCACACAUGCUACAAUGGGCGCAACAGAGGGCAGCAAUACCGCGAGGUGGAGCCAAUCCCAAAAAUACGCCCCCAGUUCAGAUUGCAGUCUGCAACUCGACUGCAUGAAGGCGGAAUCGCUAGUAAACGCAGGUCAGCUAUACCGCGGUGAAUACGUUCCCGGG